UACGUAGGGGGCAAGCGUUAUCGGGAUUCACUGGGUGUAAAGGGAGCGUAGACGGCCAUGCAAGCCUGGAGUGAAAGCCCGGGGCCCAACCCCGGGACUGCUCUGGGAACUGUGCGGCUGGAGUGCGGGAGGGGCAGGCGGAAUUCCUGGUGUAGCGGUGAAAUGCGUAGAUAUCAGGGGGAACACCGGCGGCGAAGGCGGCCUGCUGGACCGCGACUGACGUUGAGGCUCGAAAGCGUGGGGAGCAAACAGG
rnacentral:rRNA from 1 species